rnacentral:rRNA from 1 species
UACGUGGGGUGCAAGCGUUGUUCGGAAUUACUGGGCGUAAAGCGUGUGUAGGCGGCUCGCUAAGUCUGGUGUGAAAUCCCCAAGCUUAACUUGGGAACUGCAUCGGAAACUGGCGAGCUUGAGUCCGGGAGAGGGUAGCGGAAUUCCUGGUGUAGAGGUGAAAUUCGUAGAUAUCAGGAGGAACACCGGUGGCGAAGGCGGCUACCUGGACCGGUACUGACGCUGAGACACGAAAGCGUGGGGAGCAAACAGG